AUGUGCUUUGUUAAACAGAUGCUUGAAGGCAGCAUGCUCGUUAAGAGUCAUCACCACUCCCUAAUCUUAAGUACCCAGGGACACAAACACUGCGGAAGGCCGCAGGGUCCUCUGCCUAGGAAAACCAGAGACCUUUGUUCACUUGUUUAUCUGCUGACCUUCCCUCCACUAUUGUCCUAUGACCCUGCCAAAUCCCCCUCUGCGAGAAACACCCAAGAAUGAUCAAUAAAAAUAAAAAAUAAAAAAUAAAAAAUAAAAAUAAAAAAAAAAAAAAAACAAACAAACAAACAAAAAAAACGGGGCUGGGUGCAGUGGCUCAGGCCUAUAAUCCUAGCACUUUGGGAGGCCGAGGUGGGUGGAUCGCCUGAGGUCAGGAGUUCGAGACCAGCCUGUCCAACAUAGCCAAACCCUGUCUCUACUAAAACUACAACAUUAGCUGGGCGUGGUGGUGGUGGGUGCCUGUAAUCUCCAGCUCAGGCAGGAGAAUCGCUUGAACCCUGGGGGCGGAGGUUGUGGUGAGCGGAGAUCAUGGCCAUUGCACUUCAGCCUGGGCGUAAGAGCAAAACUCUGUCUCAGGAAGAAAACAACAACCACAACAAAAAAUGCUACUUAUAUUAAUUUUGCCUCUGUUUGUUUGUUUGUUUCUCUCUCUCUCUCUUUCUUCUUAUUAUUUUUGGAGACAGAGCCUCACUCUGUCGCCCAGGCUGGAGUGCAGUGGUGCAAUCUUGGCUCACUGCAACCUCUGUCUCCCAUGUUCAAGCAAUUUUCAUGCCUCAGCCUCCCCAGUAUCUGGGAUUACAGGGUCACACCACUGUGCCCGGCUAAUUUUUGUAUUUUUUGUAGAGACAGGGUUUUCACCAUCAGGCCGGUCUUGAACUCCUGACCUCAACUGAUCACCCGCCUCAGCCUCCUAAAGUGCUAAGAUAGCCACGGUGCCUGGUUAGAAUAUAUUUUUUAAAUGUGCCUUAAAAUUUCUCAAUACAAAAAGGUUCAAUGAACAUUAUCUAGGAAAUAAAGAAUUAAAAAAAAUAAGAUUACUAGGUAGAAAAUAAACAUUUAAAUUCAUAGAAAGGGAUUGGAAGAUUAUAUACCAAACUUUUUUUUUCUUUUGAGACAAGGGCUCACUCUGUCGCCCAGGCUGGAUUGCAGUGGCACAAUCACAGCUAUAUAUGUGUAUAUAAUUUUCUAAGUAAAGAAAGUCCUGAAAUUUUAGGUUAAAAGGUGUAUUAGGGCCGGGCGCGGUGGCUCAUGCCUGUAAUUGCAGCAUUUUGGGAGGCUGAGGCGGGCAGGUCACUUGAGGUCAGGGGUUCGAGAUCAGCCUGGCCAACAUGAUGAAACC
rnacentral:lncRNA from 1 species